GAUGAACGCUGGCGGCGUGCCUAAUACAUGCAAGUCGAGCGAACAGACGAGGAGCUUGCUCCUCUGACGUUAGCGGCGGACGGGUGAGUAACACGUGGAUAACCUACCUAUAAGACUGGGAUAACUUCGGGAAACCGGAGCUAAUACCGGAUAAUAUAUUGAACCGCAUGGUUCAAUAGUGAAAGACGGUUUUGCUGUCACUUAUAGAUGGAUCCGCGCCGCAUUAGCUAGUUGGUAAGGUAACGGCCUACCAAGGCAACGAUGCGUAGCCGACCUGAGAGGGUGAUCGGCCACACUGGAACUGAGCCACGGUCCAGACCCCUACGGGAGGCAGCAGUAGGGAAUCUUCCGCAAUGGGCGAAAGCCUGACGGAGCAACGCCGCGUGAGUGAGGAAGGUCUUCGGAUCGUAAAACUCUGUUAUUAGGGAAGAACAAAUGUGUAAGUAACUAUGCACGUCUUGACGGUACCUAAUCAGAAAGCCACGGCUAACUACGU
rnacentral:rRNA from 1 species